rnacentral:lncRNA from 1 species
AAGAAUCCAUGCGAGUACCGAAAAACUGUCCGGGCGAGUACUGGAAAAGGGUUGAAUCAGUGUGACUGAAUGAAAAUGGUAGAAUCCGAGCGAAUAACGAAAAAUCGUAAAAUCCCGGCGAAUACCGGGAAAUGGUAGAAUCCGUGCGAGUACCGAAAAACUGUUCGGGCGAGUACCGGAAAAGGGUUGAAUCAGUGUGACUAAAUGAAAAUGGUAGAAUCCGAGCGAAUAACGAAAAAUCGUAAAAUCCCAACGAAUACCGGGAAA